rfam:Myotis brandtii contig178256, whole genome shotgun sequence.
GCCGGUGUGGCUCAGUGGACAGAGCGUCAGCCUUCAGACUGAAGGGUCCCCGGUUCGAGUCCAGUCAAGGGCA